ACGAACGCUGGCGGCGCGUCUUAAACAUGCAAGUCGAACGGCAGGAAGGGGCUUGCCCCUUCUGAGAGUGGCGGACUGGUGAGUAACACGUGGGUGACAUACCUUUUAGUUGGGGAUAGCUAUUAGAAAUAGUAGGUAAUACCGAAUGUGACCGUACCUGUUAGAGGGGUACGAGGAAAGGAGCUAAGGCUUCGCUAAAAGAAUGGCUCGCGGCCCAUUAUGCUCGUUGGUGAGGUAACGGCCCACCAAGGCGAUGAUGGGUAUCCGGCCUGAGAGGGUGAACGGACACAUUGGGACUGAGAUACGGCCCAGACUUCUACGGGAGGCAGCAGUUAAGAAUAUUCCGCAAUGGACGAAAGUCUGACGGAGCGACGCCGCGUGGAUGAAGAAUGCCGAAAGGUUGUAAAAUCCUUUUAAGCCUGAUGAAUAAGCACAGUAGGGAAUGAUUGUGCGGUGACCGUAGGGCUUGAAUAAGCACCGGCUAAUUACGUG
rnacentral:rRNA from 1 species